AUGAGGCCCGGGCUGACCAGCCGCGCUCCGCGCGCCUUCCGGCCCAUGGCGCUCGGGCCCGCGGCCCCAGCUCACUCGGUUCCCGGCACCUUUUCCCGGAGCGAUUCGCGGCGGCGGCGGCGGCAGCGACAGGCAGGCGGGUGCGCGCCAACGAGCACGCGCACCGCGGACACGCACGUGGAGAGCGGACGGGGAGGGGCGCGCGGGGAUCCACCCGGGUCCAGGCCGGCUCCCGAGGUCACGCGGACACGCGGCCACUGCAGCGCCCACGGGUGGCUCCUGGUCACGCCCGAGGCCCGGGCCGGCGCGGACCCGCAGCGCAGCCCCCGGUGCUGCCGCAGCGCACUCACCCGGGCACAGGCGCGCGCGCCCCGGCCACCCUGGCGCCCCGGCAUCCUGCACCGCACGGGCGCCUGCUGCUGCGCGAACCGUCACUCUGCAGACAGGCAGACAAAGCGCCAGCUCGCGGGCCCCUUCACCAUCUCCCAGAGACGAGAGUCUUUGUCACAUGUCGCUGGGCACCCUCCCAACACACCCACACAUGCCCACACUCCCACACAUCCCCGCACCCACCGGCAGGGCCAGGUGCAAACCCACACUGUUGCUGGGACCUCGCGUUCACAGACACACGGUGAAGGUCAUAACCGUUCUGCAUCACCAAGUCACGUGGAGGGUCCCCAACAGGCACGGGCCCUGCGGGGAGGGGUGGGCUGGGCGAUGCCCCGGCCGGGCUCCCGCGGGUGGGGCGGAGAGGGCUCGGCCUCAGGCUGGCGCCGCGCCCCGCCCCGCUGCCGGCCCCUCCUCCUCGUCCCAGGCUCCCCGCCCCACCGGGCGAGCUCGGGAACCAACCGGUCUCCGCCUCCGGCCCGAUUGGUCUGCGCAGCGCGCUUUCCCGGCAGGCCGGCGGUGGCACGCCGUUUGAAGCUGUGCGUCAGGGGUCCUGGCCUGGCCCGCGGCCCCUCCUUCCCUUCUGUUCCUACCGGGCCAUUUCCGUGGAAGAGUAGCCCGAACGAGACGGGCUCCCGCGGUGUGUCGGGGCGGGGUCGAGUUCCCCGCUUUUGCCUCCGAGAUCCGGGCUCGGCUGGGAGCGCUGAGAGCUCUGAAGCAGAACGCGCACCCUCGUCUUUCGUCUGGGCCCAGCAGGAAACAAGGAAGUUACCACCUCCCCAAGUAUCUCCUAGCCCUCAGGCUACUCAGGGAAACAGUGGUGGUGGUUUAGUCGCUAAGUCGUGUGCAGCUCUUGCGACCCCAUGGACUGUACCCGCCAGGCUUCCCUGUCCAUGGGAUUUCCCAGGCAAGAAUACUGGAGUGGGUUUCCAUUUCCUUGGAUUUCUAAUCCUGCCUGGUACACCCGGUCACCUUGGGCAAGUUCUUUAA
rnacentral:lncRNA from 1 species